rnacentral:rRNA from 1 species
GACGAACGCUGGCGGCGUGCUUAACACAUGCAAGUCGAACGGAAAGGCCCUGCUUGCAGGGUGCUCGAGUGGCGAACGGGUGAGUAACACGUGGGUGAUCUGCCCCUUACUUUGGGAUAAGCCUGGGAAACUGGGUCUAAUACUGGAUAGGACCAUGCUGUAGGGGGUGUGGUGGAAAGAUUAGUUUCGGUAAGGGAUGAGCUCGCGGCCUAUCAGCUUGUUGGUGGGGUAAUGGCCUACCAAGGCGUCGACGGGUAGCCGGCCUGAGAGGGUGGACGGCCACAUUGGGACUGCGAUACGGCCCAGACUCCUACGGGAGGCAGCAGUGGGGAAUAUUGCACAAUGGGCGCAAGCCUGAUGCAGCGACGCCGCGUGGGGGAUGACGGCCUUCGGGUUGUAAACUCCUUUCAGCCAUGACGAAGCCCUUGUGGUGACGGUAGUGGUAGAAGAAGCACCGGCUAACUACGUG